rnacentral:rRNA from 1 species
UACGUAGGUGGCAAGCGUUGUCCGGAUUUACUGGGCGUAAAGAGCGCGCAGGCGGUCGUUCAAGUCGCGUGUGAAAGCCCCCGGCUCAACUGGGGAGGGUCACGCGAUACUGAUCGACUCGAAGGCAGGAGAGGGUAGUGGAAUUCCCGGUGUAGAGGUGAAAUUCGUAGAUAUCGGGAGGAACACCGGUGGCGAAGGCGGCGACCUGGGUGGAUACUGACGCUGAGGCGCGAAAGCGUGGGGAGCAAACAGG